UUUUUUUUUUUUUUUUUGGCCCUUUGGUAAUGCCUUAGCUCAAGACCAAUCCCAAUUCUGUUCACUACAUAAUGUGUUUGUGUUUCACUAAAGUGCCUGAAUUUUGCACAUGUUUUGGAUGGCUACAGAGAUUGAGCUGGUCUGCCUCAAUCCUUUCUCAGAAACCUGCCCAGAGGUCUCACCUAAGAUUGUGCCUUAAAUGGCUUCUUAGAUCCAUCCUGAAUUCAGAUUGGAGAGCUGACACAUGCUCCUGUCUGCCAACUGGUGCCUGAAAUUCCUAAGCACAAAUCUUGGAGCUCUGUCCUCUGGGACAAUGAAAUGCCCUUGGGCUUCUGGCUAGGAAAUGAGAGAACAUUCUAAAAAUCUUUCCACCAAAACCACUUACAUCAACAAAGAAAAUAUGAAAUAAAAAAAAACUGUCCAUGCAAUAACAUAACACCUUAGAAACUACAGCACUCUGGAUUCCAGUGCAAAAUUAAAUAAUGCUUCUUAAUCCACAGCAAGCAACCAGCAUCUGUGCUUAUUCCACCUCAGUGCUUCAGGAUCUAGAGUGGGCCUUACAACCUGCAUUACCCUAAGACCAUUUUAUUUGCACACUGCCACAGGAAACUACAUUCACACUGACUUCCUUCUACCUAUGCACUGGUCUCUGCCUGCUCCCAGAUGAUCGAGUUCGUGUUAUGGGUUAUUUGUUGAGUGGGGGCAUAACAGGAUCACUUCUCCCAGAAGCCACUGAAAUCUGCACCAGGAGGAUUCAGGAGCAGUUUUCAUGAAAUGAAAUCUCAGAGCAGCAGCCACUUUCCAGCACAACUACUACCUGGCUGUCAACUCAGCACCUGCUUGCUAUGUGUCCUUUUUAAGUCUUUUAAUCUAACCCCAAAGAGGACCCUUUUUGUAUCUAACCUAGGUGAGGCUAUGUACCACUGGGUAACUUCCAAGUCUUAUAUGUACUUGAAGUUAGUCCUUCAUAGGAUAAGUGAAGAGGAUGAAAUCUGGGUAUAUGAAAAUAUUCUAAAGCACAAACACAGAUGAGAAGACCAGGGUUCAAAGUUUGGAGUCAUUAAAUAAUUAUUUCAUUCUUGAUUUUGAUAUUUCAAAAAAAGACAGCUCUUAGGAGGCUGGGUUCUAUUUCUUUAAAGUAUAUAUUAGUAGAAUGGAAAACAGGAUGUUAUAUAUGCAAAGAAGAAAAUGCAAAGCAAAUAGUAUAUAUAGCAUAAAUCAGAAUAAAAGGGAAAUACAGAAACAGAAAGUAUAAAUCAUGAUGUCCAAAAGAAAGUUUUAGUUUAAAAGUUGUAGGAAUAAAAGUAAAUGGAUCAAAUGCCUCUACCAAAUAAAAAAAAAGAAAGAAAAAAGGCUUUCAGACUAAAUAAAUAACAAUGAGCUAUUUAUAAGAGAGUUCACAUAUUGUUUUUUAAGAUUGGCAAGGUAAGCAAAUACAAGGUGCAAUUCAAAACAAACUACAAUUAAACUUAAAAAGAAGCAAAUUUUCUAAAUGGACAAUAACAUUAUGGAUAAUAUUUUGCAAUAGAAAACUUUUAUACAUCCAAGAAUAAAGCACCAAUAUAUAAAACUGAUUCCAAACUCAGAGACACCAGUACCAGACACCAGUACACCUCACAGUAACCCUAGGAUGUUGACAUCAUUGAUAGUCUUAUUUUAUAAAUAAGGAUACGGACUAGAAAAGUCAAGUGAUUUGACCAAGGUAUUACAAAUAACAAGUGGAAAAGUUCAGAAUCUGCUACCAGGUUUUCUGACUAGAAAUCCCAUUUACUAUACCCUCAAUUUAAUUUCAUCCAAUGAUACUUUAUGUUUUCAUUUAUCCAAUCAGUGUGGUGGUCAUUAGGGAUGUUUGCAAAUGUGGCAGAUCUCUCCUUGCAGGCAUGUGCAAACUUGCAGGCAUGUGCAAACUUGCAGGCCCACCCACUUGAGAUCAGGUAGGGCUGUGUGGCCAGCAAUGUUCCAGAUAAUGAGUAUGACAUGCAUGGAUCAAGACCUCCCACCCAUCCCCUAUUACCCCAGGAUGGACCUGCAGUAUGAGAGAAAAAUCAACCUUUAUUAUCUUUUAACCACUAAAUUUGGUGGAUUGUUUGAUACUAUAGCAUGGCCUAAACCCAUCUCAACUGAUUCAUCAUUAACAAAAAAAUUUUCUCUAGGAUAGUGCCAAGGACAAAGCCUGGUACCCUUCCACAGGAAGCAUUUCACAGGCCAAAGACCAUUAAUUAGUCAUUUUUGGCUCCAGACAUGUAACCAGUUACUAAUCUACCUAACUGUACUACCACAUGGACCACGAAGCCACUUAAGCGAGACCUUAUCAAAGACUUACUGAAAUCCAGAGAUACCAUGUCUAUUGCAUUUCCAUUAUUUAUCAGAGGAUUAAUAAUGCUCCCCAAAAGAGAUAAAGUUAGUGUGGAAUGAUUUUUUUUUUAAUCAAAAAGUCAUGCAGGAGUUCCCAUCGUGGCGCAGUGGUUAACGAAUCCGACUAGGAACCAGGAGGUUGCGGGUUCGGUCCCUGCCCUUGCUCAGUGGGUUAACGAUCCGGCGUUGCUGUGAGCUGCGGUGUAGGUCGCAGACACAGCUCGGAUCCCACGUUGCUGUGGCUCUGGCGUAGGCCGGUGGCUACAGCUCCGAUUGGACCCCUAGCCUGGGAACCUCCAUAUGCCGUGGGAGAGGCCCAAGAAAUAGCAAAAAGACCAAAAAAAAAAAAAGUCAUGCAGAUCACUGGUGAUCCCUGCUUACUUUCUCAAAUGUUCACAGACUUUUUUUGUGUUCAGAAAUCUGUCCUAGGGGAUAGAGGAAGGUAACAUCUGAUCUGAACUUUAAAAGAUAAACACAAUUUUUACAGUCAGAAAUUGAGAGAAAAGGGUAUUUCAGGUUGGAUGAAAGAAAGAUCACAACGGAGGGGGAACAAAAGUGCAUGGCUGAGUUAAGUAUCCCUUUGCUUUCUAUUUUAGACCAAGAAGCAAAGGUUGAGACAGUAAAUGAAUAAUAUGUAAAGACUGUUACUAUGUGCAGAAGAGUUUUAGAAACAAAAAGUGAGAGAACUGAGAAAAUUUCAUUUUAAGCCUCCUGUAACUUGUAAUAGCUAAUAUAAAUUUUGUCUUUUUAAAUUUAUCUAGGAGAAUUUUAAGUACAUAGAGAAUUAGAUAUUAACCUAAGCCCUCCCUAAAAUUUCUUCCUAAUAAAACUAAUAAAUUUUCUACAUUUAAUUUAAAAACUCCUUCUUAAGAUUACAGGCAGAUAAAUAAAAGGCUUUUAAAAGUUUUCCAUUUGAGGAAUGAAUUCUCUCUGCCAGGCUUUUUUUCCUAAAGUGAAUUCAUUCCCCAUGCACUACUCUCAGAAAUUUCACGACAAAAAUAAUAGAAAGCAUCUGCAGAGCAAUCAUGUGCUCUCCUUGGCUGACUAAAAGGAGCUGUACCUCACCUUCAUGCUGUCAGCCCUGAGGUCAGAGGUCUUCUGUCAAGUACAUGAAGCUGGAAAUUUCAAAUAAAUCUAAGAGAACACUCAAACACCUCAGACAGUUUUUUCCAUUAUUUAUGAUGCAGCCCAUGAUAAGAUGGAAAUCUUCUAAGUGAUAAGCUUCAUGUAAGCAAGACAUGGUUAAUGGCUUGAGGAGUGGAAUUCUGAUGCUUCCUGAAGAGACCAUUUCAGUGCAAUCUUAACCCUUGACAGGGUUAAGCUGCUUAUAGAUUCCUUAGAUAAUAAGACUGCAAAGCAUACAGCCGAAAGACAUAAACGCAAAUUCUAAUGCCUCAAAACAAAAAUGAAAGAAAAUAGCAAAAUACCAAAGAGCAAGGAACUCCCAAAAGGCAAGGCAGUUCUCUUUUACAUCCUUCAGUUCUUCUGCCCCUACUAAAGACUGAAAUGACAGGAGGCUAAACUGUUUCAGUACAUAAUUAGCUGCAGAGCUGGGCAAGCAUUUUCAAAUUAAAUGAACCAAACCCCAAAUUUUAUCUAAAUUACCAACAAAUCUGAACCACAGUUUUCACAUUUCCAACAGUUAUGUUUCUUUUACUACCUGGUCAACAUUUCUGAGCAUAUCUUCCUUUUGGUUUUUGGUCACAAGACAGCAGUUUAUAAUGAUGAUGCCAACUAUUAGACAUACUGAAGAGGUUAGCGGCUCUGCUUCUGCUGUCAACUCCCCUUAAACAAGCCUCACCUCCAGGCAUCAGAAAUCUCCUCUGUUCAGCUGGAUAAGCAAACAGAGAAUUUUUAAAGCUGUGAGAGACUUUAAAAAUCAUCUGGUCCUUGGAGUUCCCAUCAUGGAGCAGCAGAAGCAAAUCUGACUAGGAAAAAUGAGGUUUCAGGUUCGAUCCCUGGCCGCGCUCAGUGGGAUGAGGAUCUGGCAUUGCUGUGAGCUGUGGUGUAGGUCACAGAUGUGGCUCGGGUCUGGCGUUGCUGUGGCUCUGCAUAGGCCAGCAGCUACAGCUCCGAUUAGACCCCUGGGAACCUCCAUAUGCUGUGGGGGCGGCCCUAAAAAAAAAAAAAAAAAAAAAAAAAAAAAAGGACAAAAGACAAAAGAAAAAAAAAAUCAUCUGGUCCAGAAAACACUUACAAUGAUAAAGAAAUAGAAGCCCUUGGAGAAAAAGUAACUAGAAUAGAUGACAGUGCUAAUGUUGGAGCCCCAGAGCCCUCAUUCCCAAACUAGAAUGUAUUUCCUCUAUGUUACGUUGUACUUUUUCCAUAUUUAAGGUCAAUGAAAGGCCAGAGAUGGAGAGGACAAAUUCUACCAUCUAAAUACUUCCUUGAGACUGUCGCUCUAGUCCAUAUGAUACUACCUUCCCCAUUUGUUAAACAUUGUUGAUAAAUGUAACAUUUUCUUUCCUAAUGGUUGCCGAGACUCAAAUCUCAUCUUCUCUAAUCCUCUUUUCUGCUGUUUAAACUAGAAUAAUUUGCCUAAAUUCCCCAAUGUCAAUUUGAUCAAGGUCUCUGUUCCCCUUUGUGAUGAUUUCCCAUCUUUUAUGAUCCUCCCUUUGUUUGACUGAGGAACCGUUCCUCCUCUUUCAAAGUGUGGCUUAAAGAACUACCCCAAAGGAAGUUCCUGUUGUGGCUUGGAUGGGGGUUAAGAACCCAACUAGUAUCCAUGAGGAUGUAGGUUUGAUCCCUGGCCUCACUCAGUGGGUUAAGCUGUGAGCUGCAGUGUACAACACAGACUUGGCUAGGAUCCAGCAUUGUUGCAGAUGUGACGUAGGCUGGCAGCUGUGGCUCUGAUUUGACCCCAAACUCUGAACCCUUCCAUAUGUGGCAGGUGCAGCCCUAAAAAGAAAAAAAAAAGAAUUGAGCAAUGAGCAAUGUCUAUUGAAAUCAAAUAGACAUUGAUUUCUACCAGCCAAACAUAAAGUGACCACACCUCAUAUUUACAUGUGAGGCAAUACACCAGUUUGCUGAAGUAGACUAUGAGCACCACAGUGAAAAUUCACUGAGAUUUAAAUUACAUAAACAAAAUGUCAUCUGAUUAAUAAGACAGAGAAUGACUUUCUGAUCAUAAAAGCAAUAGAAAUCAAGAAGAAAAAACAAGUAAAUAUGAUCACAUAAAAAUCAGAAAUUUCUGGAGGGCUUCUCACUUUGGCACAGUGGGUUAAAGACCUGGUGUUGCUGCAGCUGUGACCUACGCUGCUAUUAAAUCCUUGGCCUGGAAACUUCCAUAUAUUGUCAGUGCAGCCAUUAAAAAGAAAGAAACAAACAAACAAAGUUCUGCUACACAAAAAGACUUGGAAAUUUUUGCAUAUGACAAAAGAUUGGUAUCCUUUACAUAAAAAAAAAAAAAAAAAAAAAAAGAAGCUCUUGGAGUUCCUGUCGUGGCGCAGUGGUUAACAAAUCCUACUAGGAACCAUGAGGUUGCAGGUUCGAUCCCUGCCCUUGCUCAGUGGGUUAAGGAUCCAGCAUUGCCGUGAGCUGUGGUGCAGGUUUCAGACUCGGCUCAGAUCCAGCGUUGCUGUGGCUGUGGAGUAGGCCAGUGGCUUCAGCUCCGAUUCGACC
rnacentral:lncRNA from 9 species